UUAAUUGAAACCAAAAUAGAGGUAUGUCACUGUUAAUGACAACAAUGAAAGCAACUUCCAAUUAAA
rnacentral:tRNA from 1 species